AUAAUUUCAUUCUUGUGGUUGCCUUCCUUUGCCACUAGAUGGUACUUGUAUGCCUGAGAGACCAAAAUGCUGAUUCAGUUUACCUUCCUGGAAACUGUAUAACCAAUCAGAGGAUCAGGUCAUUGAGAAGAAGAAACUUGCCCAACCUAAAAUCACACAUUAGACAUUUAAGAAACUAGAAUUGUUAUACCCUGCUACUGGACAGGAGUCCUGAUCCAGACUCCAAGAGAGGUUCUUGGAUCUCGUGUGAGAAAGAAUUCAAGGU
rnacentral:lncRNA from 1 species